AGUUUCGGCCAUACCACCUUAGGCACGCCCGAUCUCGUCUGAUCUCGGAAGCUAAGCAGGGUCGGGCCUGGUUAGUACUUGGAUGGGUGACCGCCUGGGAGUACCAGGUGCUGUAAGCA
rnacentral:rRNA from 10 species